GCCCCAUGGGGCGCAGCAGGCGAGAAAACUUUGCAAUGUGCGAAAGCACGACAAGGUUAAUCCGAGUGGUUUCUGCUAAAGGAACCUUUUGUCGGUCCUAGAAACACCGAUGAAUAAGGGGUGGGCAAGUUCUGGUGUCAGCCGCCGCGGUAAAACCAGCACCUCAAGUGGUCAGGAUGAUUAUUGGGCCUAAAGCAUCCGUAGCCGGCUCUGUAAGUUUUCGGUUAAAUCUGUACGCUUAACGUACAGGCUGCCGGGAAUACUGCAGAGCUAGGGAGUGGGAGAGGUAGACGGUACUCGGUAGGAAGGGGUAAAAUCCUUUGAUCUAUUGAUGACCACCUGUGGCGAAGGCGGUCUACCAGAACACGUCCGACGGUGAGGGAUGAAAGCUGGGGGAGCAAACCGGAUUAGAUACCCGGGUAGUCCCAGCUGUAAACUAUGCAAACUCAGUGAUGCAUUGGAUGUGGCCAAUGCAGUGCUGCAGGGAAGCCGUUAAGU
rnacentral:rRNA from 1 species